rnacentral:misc_RNA from 1 species
GAACGCACCUUGCGCCCUUUGGCCAUUCCGAAGGGCAUGCCUGUUUGAGUAUCAUGAACACCUCAACUCUUCAUGGUUUUCCAUGAUGAGCUUGGACUUUGGGGGUCUUGCUGGCCUGUGGGUCGGCUCCUCUCAAACGAAUCAGCUUGCCAGUGUUUGGCGGCAUCACAGGUGUGAUAACUAUCUGCGCUUGUGGUUUCCCGCUAGAUAACCUUCAGCGAUGGAGGUUCGCUGGAGCUCAUAAAUGUCUCUCCUCAGCGAGGACAGCACUUUGACUGUUUGAUCUCAAAUCAGGUAGGACUACCCGCUGAACUUAAG